AUCUCCCAAUCAUGCGGACCUCCGAAACUCGGGCUUGGCUCAUUGGCCUCCUUGAGCACACCAUCGAUAGCUGGGCCGAGCUCAAGGCUCAAUU
rnacentral:snoRNA from 1 species